rnacentral:rRNA from 1 species
CAGUACCGUGAGGGAAAGGCGAAAAGAACCCCGGCGAGGGGAGUGAAAAAGAACCUGAAACCGUGUACGUACAAGCAGUGGGAGCACAGGUUUACCUGUGUGACUGCGUACCUUUUGUAUAAUGGGUCAGCGACUUAUAUUCUGUAGCAAGGUUAACCGAAUAGGGGAGCCGGAGGGAAACCGAGUCUUAAUUGGGCGUUAAGUUGCAGGGUAUAGACCCGAAACCCGGUGAUCUAGCCAUGGGCAGGUUGAAGGUUGGGUAACACUAACUGGAGGACCGAACCGACUAAUGUUGAAAAAUUAGCGGAUGACCUGUGGCUGGGGGUGAAAGGCCAAUCAAACCGGGAGAUAGCUGGUUCUCCCCGAAAGCUAUUUAGGUAGCGCCUCGUGAAUUCAUCUCCGGGGGUAGAGCACUGUUUCGGCUAGGGGGCCAUCCCGGCUUACCAACCCGAUGCAAACUGCGAAUACCGGAGAAUGUUAUCACGGGAGACACACGGCGGGUGCUAACGUCCGUCGUGAAGAGGGAAACAACCCAGACCGCCAGCUAAGGUCCCAAAGUCAUGGUUAAGUGGGAAACGAUGUGGGAAGGCCCAGACAGCCAGGAUGUUGGCUUAGAAGCAGCCAUCAUUUAAAGAAAGCGUAAUAGCUCACUGGUCGAGUCGGCCUGCGCGGAAGAUGUAACGGGGCUAAACCAU